rnacentral:lncRNA from 1 species
CACCUCCAAUAACCCGGCCAAUCCCGUGAGCAGCAGAAGCAGGAGGACAGGUCAACCGUGUACAGGUCACAGGUACAUGUGGGGCAUGUCCCAAACCACCAGUACCAACCGGGACUCAGUCACAGCUCCCAGACCUUGGAACUGUGGCAGAUUUAACCUGCAAAGGGUCGAACAAUUUCAGACGUGGAUGACGGUCUCUCUCUUUCUAAAUAAAUUUGAGGGUGAAGAAGAGGACUGGGCGUUCGGAGGUCACGCAGCCAGUCAGUGAUGGAUGCGGACAAAGUCAGGGCUCCCGAGUCCGGGUGCAGAAGAGUCGCUCUUUGGCCACACCCUUUGGCUCUUGGGCUCCUGUGAGGGUGGGGGACCCCUGCUGGGGGAGGAGCGUGUGACAGCCUCGCUUCCUGCCUGCGCCUCCUCCCAAUGGUUGGGGUGGGGGCAGCUCCUGGGUGCUGCUGCGGCAUCUCCACCCCUGGCUCUAGUCAGUUAUCACACCGAAUGCUGAGAACUACAGAGGGCCAUCAAGGCCCUGUCCUCCGGCAAGCAGCUGGCCAGGUCACAGGGCACAGACGGGCAAUCGAGCCGCUGCGACCUGAGCUAUGGAAAACAGGAGAACAUGCGCAGAGAUGGGGAGGUGUGGGCGGCCCGGUUCUCCGCCGUGGAGCUACGCGCAGUUCUACAACGCAGACUGGAAAGGGGCAAAAGAUAACGUCAGAGGUCACCAGCAGCCAGAUCACAAAGAAGGUUCUGUAUCUACCCAGGGAGGCUGCUUCUUUGUUUGCUUGUUUUCUAACUUUGGGCCACUUUCAAAUUUGA